AUGGAUUUCACAAUUUUUUGCAACAAAAUAACCUUAUCCUCUAAUUGCAUUUUCCACAACUUUUUCAAGUCUCAUAAUUUUGGUAAUGUCUUAGAAAUUAAAAUUACCAAAAAAAAUUUUUUGUGUUCCCUCAUUUGUUUGGUCAAAGGUCUGGAAAAUUCAUUGUUCCCUUCACUGACCCUGAGAAGCCUGCCUCCAGUUGGCUUUGUUGGAUUCACAGAUUUGAUGAAUUCCACUCCAGCCGCAGUCCAGGACACCGUGAGGACACGGCUGGAGCUUCCCACCCGCUUCUGCCACGGGUGCUCUCCUUUGCAGUCACGUCUGAGAGCCCAGCGCAGGCCGCGGAGAACCUGGAAGCCGAAGUCCCGGUGGACUUCCGUCCCCGAGGGAGGUCAACAGGGGGAGCCCCGGCUUUCAAAAAGGAGCUGAGCGGCCGGCUGCCUCUUCUUGCUCCUCAGGCUGGGGCUCUGGGCGAGAACAGGGAGGCGGCCUUCCUGCGCGGGCAGCGGCCUUCAGCAGAGUGCAUCCCGCAUCCGUGGGGAUGAGACCAAAGCCCCAGGGCCCGCAGGAGAAACAGCCGGCUCCGGGGAUGGGACGGGGCCCCUGACCAGGGAGGCCGGGGCCUAGCACAGCAGUCGCCGAAGUGGGGUUUUGCGGAGGAGACAAGGAAACGCUGGGUUCAGAUAUGGCUAAGCACAGACACGGCUUUCUGGAGCUGAAAACAAACAAACAAAAACCCUGGAGACCUCCAUAAAUAAUUUAGCAGAGGAACCGGGAGAGAGGCUGCUAUUUUCCUGGUGAACUCCGAAGUAGUCGUUUAGGAAUUAGGAACCAGACGUUUCUUCUCUGAGAUUUAUUUAUCUGAAAAGCAGAAUGACAGAGAGAGAGGAGUGAGAGAGAGAAAACCUUCUACCUGCUGGUUCACUCCACCAAAUGGCUGUAACUACCAGGGCUUGGCCAGGCUGAAGCCAGGAGCUGGGGGCUCCAUCUGGGUCACCCAUGUAAGUGGCCUUACGAGUACUUGAGCCAGCUUCAGCUGCUUCCCAGGCACAUUAGCAAGGAGCUGGAUUGGAAGCAGUGCAGCCAGGACUCCAACUGGCUCUCAGGGAUGGCCUACGGACGUCCCAAGUGGUGGCUUAACCCCCAGUGCCACAAUGUCUACCCCAAACUCUUCUUUAAGUACAGAGUGAGAUAUGCAAAGUUGGGAAUCUGGGAGAGUGGUUAGAGACUUAGGAAACAGGGCAAGGAAACCUACCAUGUGAAACCUACCAUGUGAAUAAAGGUAGUCCUAGAGGAAGAAACA
rnacentral:lncRNA from 1 species